rnacentral:rRNA from 1 species
UACAGAGGGUGCAAGCGUUAAUCGGAAUUACUGGGCGUAAAGCGCGCGUAGGCGGCUGUGUAAGUUGGAUGUGAAAUCCCCGGGCUUAACCUGGGAAUGGCAUUCAAAACUGCACGGCUAGAGUGUGGGAGAGGAAGGUAGAAUUCCAGGUGUAGCGGUGAAAUGCGUAGAGAUCUGGAGGAAUACCGAUGGCGAAGGCAGCCUUCUGGCCUAACACUGACGCUGAGGUGCGAAAGCAUGGGGAGCAAACAGG